UAUAUCAACAGUGCUACCCUGGACACAUGCUGAUUUCAGAGGUUAAGCAGGAUUAGGCCUGGUUAAUGGUUGGAUGGGAGACUAUCAUGGGAUACCAAGGAUGUAUGAAAUGU
rnacentral:rRNA from 1 species